rnacentral:rRNA from 1 species
UACGGAGGGUGCAAGCGUUAUCCGGAUUCACUGGGUUUAAAGGGUGCGUAGGCGGGCAGGUAAGUCAGUGGUGAAAUCCCCGAGCUCAACUUGGGAAUUGCCGUUGAUACUAUCUGUCUUGAAUAUCGUGGAGGUGAGCGGAAUAUGUCAUGUAGCGGUGAAAUGCUUAGAUAUGGCAUAGAACACCCAUUGCGAAGGCAGCUCACUACACGAUAAUUGACGCUGAGGCACGAAAGCGUGGGGAGCAAACAGG